UACGGGGGGGGCAAGCGUUGUUCGGAAUUACUGGGCGUAAAGGGCUCGUAGGCGGCCAACUAAGUCGGAUGUGAAAUCCCCAGGCUCAACCUGGGAACUGCAUCCGAUACUGGAUGGCUUGAAUUCGGGAGAGGGAUGCAGAAUUCCAGGUGUAGCGGUGGAAUGCGCAGAUAUCGGGAGGAACACCCGUGGCGAAGGCGGCACUCUGGGACGGUACUGACGCUGAGACGCGAAAGCGUGGGGAGCAAACAGG
rnacentral:rRNA from 1 species